UACCCGAAGCCCGCUAGAGAGGCCGGGCCGGGCCGGCGCGGCCGCCCGGAACCCGACCCGCUGCCCCGCGCAGCUGCGUCGUCGGCAGCCUGGAGUCCUGGUGGCCGAGGACUGCGGGAUCCUGUACCUGAAGGGCGCCAGCCCAGCGCAGGAUGCCGGCCUCGGCGGCUCAGGAAGCUGCCAGAGGACAGACAGGAGGCGAGGGCGCGGGCGCGGGCGGCUCUGCGCUCGGCCCGCCCGGCCCCUCAGCUGCCCUUGACUUGUGGACGCGGCCCCCACGCCGCCCCUGCCGCCCUAAAAUCUGUUUCUGGCCACCGCCUACCAAAUCUGCUUUCUGUUCAUCUCUGCCUCCUCCAUUUCUAGCAGGAGAUUGUAAUAAAAAUGGAAGAAGAACCAAGUUCUGCUUUGGACUCUGAAGAGACUUUUAAUUCUUGUAGGAAAGAAUGGGAAGAACAACGUGUAAACAACAAUUACUUGGCAACAAGGGCAGAACAUGGGCAGCUGAGAAGCAGCAGGUUCCGCAGCAUUUGCUGGAAGAAACCUACAGAGGCAGAACCUGCAGCUAUGGAGAGUUGACUGUAUUGUUCAAAACCUGUAGCCCUCAUCGAACAGGUAAGCUUAAGUCAUUCCUUCUACCACAAACACCAUUUAGCUCUAAGUGUUUGAUAGAAACCAGUGAGUGUGUAUUGCACUGUAUGAGAAACAAGCCCACCUGA
rnacentral:lncRNA from 1 species